UACGUAGGGACCGAGCGUUGUCCGGAUUCAUUGGGCGUAAAGAGCUCGUAGGCGGCCACUCAAGUCGAAUGUGAAACCUCGAGGCUUAACCUCGAGCCUGCAUUCGAUACUGGGCGGCUAGAGUCUGGUAGGGGGAUCUGGAAUUCCUGGUGUAGCGGUGGAAUGCGCAGAUAUCAGGAGGAACACCAGUGGCGAAGGCGGCGACCUGGGCCAAUAUUGACGCUGAGGUGCGAAAGCGUGGGGAGCAAACAGG
rnacentral:rRNA from 1 species